GUGCCAGCAGCCGCGGUAAUACAGAGGGUGCGAGCGUUGUCCGGAAUCACUGGGCGUAAAGGGCGCGUAGGUGGCUUGGUAAGCGUGUGGUGAAAGCUCGGGGCUCAACCCCGAGUCGGCCAUGCGAACUGCCGAGCUUGAGCAUGGUAGAGGCAGGUGGAAUUCCGGGUGUAGCGGUGGAAUGCGUAGAUAUCCGGAAGAACACCGGUGGCGAAGGCGGCCUGCUGGGCCAUUGCUGACACUGAGGCGCGACAGCGUGGGGAGCAAACAGGAUUAGAUACCCGCGUAGUCC
rnacentral:rRNA from 1 species